CACGUAGGGCGCAAGCGUUGUCCGGAAUUAUUGGGCGUAAAGAGCUCGUAGGUGGUUUGUUACGUCUGCUGUGAAAACCUAGGGCUUAACCCUGGGCUUGCAGUGGAUACGGGCAGACUAGAGGUAGGUAGGGGAGAAUGGAAUUCCUGGUGUAGCGGUGAAAUGCGCAGAUAUCAGGAGGAACACCGGUGGCGAAGGCGGCAUCCUGGACCGACACUGACGCUGAGACGCGAAAGCGUGGGGAGCGAACAGG
rnacentral:rRNA from 1 species